UUUCCUUUUUCUACAACAUAAUUUGAGGGAUGCAAUCCCGUAUCAAGUUUCUUAGCCCUAUAAUCUUAUUUGUUUUGCAGUCAAGUUGACAACAACAACUUUGGUGGGACUACAAUUCCAGAUUUGUAUAGCAACAUGUCUAAACCGUUCAAGUUGAGUUUGACGAACUUACAAUGGCCUAUUCCUGAUUUCAGUAGGAUUCCAAACCUCGGUUAUCCACAGGUUCGAGUUUAAUUGUGUAAAAAAUGGAGAGAUUGAUCACCGUCACUCAUAGCUGCGUUUCAGGAAACAAGCUUAUCUCUUCCCAAUUUUGUGUACCCACUUUUUAUUCAUGAUGGUCAAGGUGGGACACCUAUCUGGGCAAUGUUGGGAUGUCUAGGCUUGGGUGGAGACGUGGACUUAUGGAAGUGUUGAAGUAGCUUAGCUCUAUCUCAAUAGCUCUCAUCUGUUCUGUUUAAGCUCAUUGGUGCUGACUCUGAGGUCAAUCAAGCACAUAAGAUUCAGAAAGAAAACUCCACAUCUGUUGCCAGCAAUGCUCAUGGGGAACCAAAGCCUAAAAAUCUAAAGCCUUUUAGGUUUAGAACUGAUGAAAGAGGGAUGUUUAAGGAAGCAACUUUGGAGAAAAAAGUGCAUGCACCACUGAAGGAGAUCACAUUAGUCAGGACUCCAGGGGUAAAGUCAACAAGCAAACAUUAGAAUGUGAUACACGUAUACUUGGGAGCUGCAAGUGCUUUGUGUGUGGUUUGAAUCUGAACAAUUACAUUGUAAAACAUUGGACCAGUUGGUCAUAUUUAGAAGAGCAAACGGGGAUGGAGUUCUUGGUGUUGCAUGAAGUUGAUGUGCAUGAGAUGGACAUCCAUCCUGUCUCCAAUGGAAGAAAUUCGAUGUCACCAUCUUCAGCUUUCCUCAUGCAGGCCAUUACUCUAGGCUAAGUGAAAAGUACUCGGUCCUUACGGAGUAAGUCACUAAUUAUUCAUUUCAAUUAAAUGCUGAUUAGGAUAUUAUGUGUAAAUAGGAUUGUAAAUAUGUUGUACAUAUAAUUUUCAAUCCCGCAACAACGCGCGGGCACCAUUGCUAGU